rnacentral:rRNA from 1 species
UACGGGGGGGCAAGCGUUGUUCGGAAUUACUGGCGUAAAGGGCUCGUAGGCGGCCAACUAAGUCAUACGUGAAAUCCCUCGGCUUAACCGGGGAACUGCGUCUGAUACUGGAUGGCUUGAGGUUGGGAGAGGGAUGCGGAAUUCCAGGUGUAGCGGUGAAAUGCGUAGAUAUCUGGAGGAACACCGGUGGCGAAGGCGGCAUCCUGGACCAAUUCUGACACUGAGGAGCGAAAGCCAGGGGAGCAAACGGG